rnacentral:rRNA from 1 species
CGAGUUCUCGUUGAUGAUCGGUGCUUGCACCGAGAUUCAACAUGGAACGAGUGGCGGACGGGUGAGUAACACGUGGGUAACCUGCCCUUAAGUGGGGGAUAACAUUUGGAAACAGAUGCUAAUACCGCAUAGAUCCAAGAACCGCAKGGUUCUUGGCUGAAAGAUGGCGUAAGCUAUCGCUUUUGGAUGGACCCGCGGCGUAUUAGCUAGUUGGUGAGGUAAUGGCUCACCAAGGCGAUGAUACGUAGCCGAACUGAGAGGUUGAUCGGCCACAUUGGGACUGAGACACGGCCCAAACUCCUACGGGAGGCAGCAGUAGGGAAUCUUCCACAAUGGACGCAAGUCUGAUGGAGCAACGCCGCGUGAGUGAAGAAGGCUUUCGGGUCGUAAAACUCUGUUGUUGGAGAAGAAUGGUCGGCAGAGUAACUGUUGUCGGCGUGACGGUAUCCAACCAGAAAGCCACGGCUAACUACGUGCCAGCAGCCGCGGUAAUACGUAGGUGGCAAGCGUUAUCCGGAUUUAUUGGGCGUAAAGCGAGCGCAGGCGGUUUUUUAAGUCUGAUGUGAAAGCCCUCGGCUUAACCGAGGAAGCGCAUCGGAAACUGGGAAACUUGAGUGCAGAAGAGGACAGUGGAACUCCAUGUGUAGCGGUGAAAUGCGUAGAUAUAUGGAAGAACACCAGUGGCGAAGGCGGCUGUCUGGUCUGUAACUGACGCUGAGGCUCGAAAGCAUGGGUAGCGAACAGGAUUAGAUACCCUGGUAGUCCAUGCCGUAAACGAUGAAUGCUAGGUGUUGGAGGGUUUCCGCCCUUCAGUGCCGCAGCUAACGCAUUAAGCAUUCCGCCUGGGGAGUACGACCGCAAGGUUGAAACUCAAAGGAAUUGACGGGGGCCCGCACAAGCGGUGGAGCAUGUGGUUUAAUUCGAAGCAACGCGAAGAACCUUACCAGGUCUUGACAUCUUUUGAUCACCUGAGAGAUCAGGUUUCCCCUUCGGGGGCAAAAUGACAGGUGGUGCAUGGUUGUCGUCAGCUCGUGUCGUGAGAUGUUGGGUUAAGUCCCGCAACGAGCGCA